ACUCCGGUGGUGUGAGAUGGACCCGCGUCUGAUUAGCUAGUUGGUGAGGUAAGGGCUCACCAAGGCGACGAUCAGUAGCCGACCUGAGAGGGUGACCGGCCACAUUGGGACUGAGACACGGCCCAAACUCCUACGGGAGGCAGCAGUGGGGAAUAUUGCACAAUGGGGGAAACCCUGAUGCAGCGACGCCGCGUGAAGGAAGAAGUAUUUCGGUAUGUAAACUUCUAUCAGCAGGGAAGAAAAUGACGGUACCUGACUAAGAAGCCCCGGCUAACUACGUGCCAGCAGCCGCGGUAAUACGUAGGGGGCAAGCGUUAUCCGGAUUUACUGGGUGUAAAGGGAGCGUAGACGGAGCUGCAAGUCUGAUGUGAAAGCCCGGGGCUCAACCCCGGGACUGCAUUGGAAACUGUAGAUCUAGAGUGCCGGAGAGGUAAGCGGAAUUCCUAGUGUAGCGGUGAAAUGCGUAGAUAUUAGGAGGAACACCAGUGGCGAAGGCGGCUUACUGGACGGUGACUGACGUUGAGGCUCGAAAGCGUGGGGAGCAAACAGGAUUAGAUACCCUGGUAGUCCACGCCGUAAACGAUGACUACUAGGUGUCGGGGAGCAAAGCUCUUCGGUGCCGCAGCCAACGCAA
rnacentral:rRNA from 1 species